AAAGGCUUUUAUGCUUGUUUGAACAAGCACUGGCAGGUGGUGCUGGAAACGUAAGUCAGGAGAGAAGCCCCGUGGGAACCUGGAUGACCCUUCUGAUGUUCCCACCCCUAAUGGCGUCCCAGGAGUUCGGACAGCUGAAGGAACAGUGAAAUCAUGUAACAUUUCUGACUUCUCUAACCAGAGCACUAUUGUCCUCGGUCACUGCUGUGGUGUGAUCCCUACAAGUCACUACGCAUUACUGAUGCUGGCUUUGAGAAUCUUUUGCUGCUUCUUCCAACAAACAGUCCAUCUUUUUUUACCUGUAUUCUAGAGUACUGUACAACCACUCAGCAGUGUGUCUUCCUUGUAAGAUCGAAGCUUUCUCUGUGCUGGCAGCUGCUGGGCUCUAGAGAUGUCCGCAGUUCGGUGGUGAUGUACACAGCCGGCUUGAAGAGUCCUGAGAUGCUUCCAAGACUGGAAACUCUGGACAACAGAAAACAAAACUGAUCCUUGAUGCCUCAUUCUUCAUCAGGCCAGUCACCAGCAAUGGAAAAGAAACUGUACCAGUUUUGGACGUGUGGAGUGGCUGGGGAGCUGCAAGAUCACCAUGAAGGCUGGCCUCAUGCAGAUCUCUGAGGUGCUGUCUUCUGCAUGAUGACCUGGCUGCAUCACAUGAAGAUGAGGCUACGAGGGGGAAACGUAUCCUCCAGCAAGGGGGCUUUUAGUGCAGAGCCUGUCUAGGAGACACUUCUCCAGGAUAGUGUCACGGCUUCCCUCUCCCCCUGUAACACUGCAUGUUAGAAGCCAGAGGUUAAGCCGGAGUGGGCAGAAGGCCACGCGCUCCAUUUGAGGUCCUAGCUGUGGGAGGGAGCUUGUUACAAGUACUGCAUUCAGCAAGAGAAAUUUGGCAGGUCUGAGACACUGAUGGAAAGUUGACAGAGCCAUCUAUGUACCUUUUCCUGGCAAAAGACUCCAGCUCCAGGACCUCCUAGGGUGGUUUGCAAAAAAGG
rnacentral:lncRNA from 1 species